rnacentral:rRNA from 1 species
CACGUAGGGCGCGAGCGUUGUCCGGAAUUAUUGGGCGUAAAGAGCUCGUAGGCGGCCUGUUGCGUCCGCUGUGAAAGCCCGGGGCUUAACCCCGGGUCUGCAGUGGAUACGGGCAGGCUAGAGGUAGGUAGGGGAGAAUGGAAUUCCCGGUGUAGUGGUGGAAUGCGUAGAUAUCGGGAGGAACACCAGUGGCGAAGGCGGUUGCCUGGGGCUUUGCUGACGCUGAUGCGCGAAAGCGUGGGGAGCGAGUCCGG